rnacentral:rRNA from 1 species
CAGCCGCCGCGGGAAUACGAAGGGUGCAAGCGUUAAUCGGAAUUACUGGGCGUAAAGCGUGCGUAGGCGGUGAGUUAAGUCUGCUGUGAAAUCCCCGGGCUCAACCUGGGAAUGGCAGUGGAUACUGGCUCGCUAGAGUGUGUCAGAGGAUGGUGGAAUUCCCGGUGUAGCGGUGAAAUGCGUAGAUAUGCGGAGGAACACCGAUGGCGAAGGCAAUCCCCUGGGCCUGCACUGACGCUCAUGCACGAAAGCGUGGGGAGCAAACAGGAUUAGAUACCCCCGUAGUCCCUGUCUCUUAUAA